UGUGGCUGAGGACCCCGGCGGCAGACGCAGGUUCGGGACCAUGAGCUGGAUUCCUUUUAAGAUUGGGCAGCCCAAGAAACAGAUUGUGCCCAAAACAGUGGAGAGAGACUUUGAAAGGGAGUAUGGAAAACUUCAGCAGUGAGUGUCAACCCCAGAAAGAUGAGGUGGGAGGCAGGGAGGGACAAGGGCCCCCUGCCAGGUCUCACCUGUCUGCCCCGUGCCCUGCCCCGUGAGCACCCUGGAAGCUGAGGGCAGCUCAGGUCACCAGGCUGCUGGAACUGUUCCCUGGCAAUGGCCAUGUGAGAGUCAUUCACUCAUAGCCUUUGGGUGUAGUGGCACUUCAGUCAGCGGGAAAAGUCCCCGUGGAGAAGAUCCCUUUCUCCUCCUCCUUGGCAGGCCCUCCAGAGCACCUGGGCUUCGCUCAGGUAGGGGGAAGGAAGGGGACCCCAAGCAGCCCGUCCCCUGCCUUG
rnacentral:lncRNA from 1 species